CGCGCAGGCGGAUUGACAAGUCAAGAGUGAAAUCUCUAUGCUUAACGUGGAGCUUGCUUUUGAAACUGUCUGCCUUGAGUCAUGUAGGGGAUGACGGAACACCUGGAGUAGCGGUGAAAUGCGUAGAUAUCAGGUGGAACACCAAUGGCGAAGGCUGUCAUCUGGGCAAAGACUGACGCUGAGGCGCGAAAGCCGGGGGAGCGAACAGGAUUAGAUACCCUGGUAGUCC
rnacentral:rRNA from 1 species